UACGUAGGUGACGAGCGUUAUCCGGAUUUAUUGGGCGUAAAGCGCACGCAGGCGGCAGAGAAAGUCUGACGUGAAAUCUCCCGGCUUAACUGGGAGCGGUCGUUGGAAACUACUUGGCUUGAGGCGAUGAGAGGGGUGUGGAAUUCCAGGUGUAGCGGUGAAAUGCGUAGAUAUCUGGAGGAACACCGGUGGCGAAGGCGGCAUCCUGGACCGGCAUUGACGCUGAGGCGCGAAAGCUAGGGGAGCAAACGGG
rnacentral:rRNA from 1 species